GCUGGCGGCGUGCCUAACACAUGCAAGUCGAACGAGAAAGUGGAGCAAUCCAUGAGUAAAGUGGCGACCGGGUGAGUAACACGUGACUAACCUGCCUUCGAGUGGGGGAUAACCUCGGGAAACCGGGGCUAAUACCGCAUAAUGCCUUCGGGUUAAAGGAGCAAUUCGCUUGAAGAGGGGGUCGCGGCUGAUUAGCUAGUUGGCGGGGUAACGGCCCACCAAGGCGAUGAUCGGUAGCCGGCCUGAGAGGGCGCACGGCCACACUGGAACUGAAACACGGUCCAGACUCCUACGGGAGGCAGCAGUGGGGAAUUUUGCGCAAUGGGGGAAACCCUGACGCAGCAACGCCGCGUGGAGGAUGAAGUCCCUUGGGACGUAAACUCCUUUCGACCGGGACGAUAAUGACGGUACCGGUGGAAGAAGCCCCGGCUAACUUCGUGCCAGCAGCCGCGGUAAUACGAGGGGGGCGAGCGUUGUUCGGAAUUAUUGGGCGUAAAGGGCGCGUANGCGGUGCGGUAAGUCACCUGUG
rnacentral:rRNA from 1 species